AGUGGCGCACGGGUGAGUAACGCGUGGGUAACCUACCCUUAAAUUGGGGAUAACUCUUCGAAAGGGGAGUUAAUACCGAAUAAUAUUUCCUACGGCGAAGGUGCGUUUAAGGAUGGGCCCGCGUACCAUUAGCUAGUUGGUAGGGUAAUAGCCUACCAAGGCAACGAUGGUUAGCUGGUCUAAGAGGAUGGUCAGCCACACUGGAACUGAGACACGGUCCAGACUCCUACGGGAGGCAGCAGUGGGGAAUCUUGCGCAAUGGGGGAAACCUUGACGCAGCAACGCCGCGUGGGUGAUGAAGGCCUUCGGGUCGUAAAGCCCUGUCAGGUGGGAAGAAUGACGGUACCACCGGAGGAAGCACCGG
rnacentral:rRNA from 1 species